rnacentral:rRNA from 1 species
UUCCGGUUGAUCCUGCCGGACCUGACUGCUAUCGGAUUGAUACUAAGCCAUGCGAGUCAUUGUAACAAUACAAGGCAGACGGCUCAGUAACGCGUAGUCAACCUACCCUAUGGACAGGGAUAACCUCGGGAAACUGAGAAUAAUACCAGAUAGAACAUUAUGCCUGGAAUGGUUUAUGUUUCAAAUAAUUUAUUGCCGUAGGAUGGGACUGCGGCCUAUCAGUUUGUUGGUGAGGUAAUGGCCCACCAAGACUAUUACAGGUACGGGCUCUGAGAGGAGUAGCCCGGAGAUGGGUACUGAGACACGGACCCAGGCCCUAUGGGGCGCAGCAGGCGAGAAAACUUUGCAAUGUGCGUAAGCACGACAAGGUUAAUCCGAGUGAUUUCUGCUAAAGGAAUCUUUUGUCAGUCCUAGAAACACUGUUGAAUAAGGGGUGGGCAAGUUCUGGUGUCAGCCGCCGCGGUAAAACCAGCACCUCAAGUGGUCAGGAUGAUUAUUGGGCCUAAAGCAUCCGUAGCCUGUUUUGUAAGUUUUCGGUUAAAUCCAUACGCUCAACGUAUGGGCUGCCGGAAAUACUGCAAAACUAGGGAGUGGGAGAGGUAGACGGUACUCGGGAGGAAGGGGUAAAAUCCUUUGAUCUCUCGAUGACCACCUGUGGCGAAGGCGGUCUACCAGAACACGUCCGACGGUGAGGGAUGAAAGCUGGGGGAGCAAACCGGAUUAGAUACCCGGGUAGUCCCAGCUGUAAACGAUGCAGACUCGGUGAUGCCCUGGCUUGUGGCCAGUGCAGUGCCGCAGGGAAGCCGUUAAGUUUGCCGCCUGGGAAGUACGUACGCAAGUAUGAAACUUAAAGGAAUUGGCGGGGGAGCACCACAAGGGGUGAAGCCUGCGGUUCAAUUGGAUUCAACGCCGGA